CGGGGUGGUUCGCGGCUCUAACCGCUCGGUAACCCGUGUCGGCGCCGCACCCUGGAGAUGUGCUCGACGCCCGGGCUGCCGACGCCGGGAGCCUCGCUGGCUCUGCGGGUGUCCUUCGUAGACGUCCACCCCGAGGUGAUCCCCGUGCAGCUAUGGGGGCUGGUGGGCGAGCGGCGGGAAGAGUACGUGCGGCUGAGCCGGGAGAUCCAAGAGGCGGCGGCCACGCGCGGGCCGUGGGCGUUGGGCGGCGCCUCCGCCUCGCCGGGAGAGCUGUGUCUGGUGCAGAUGGGGCUGAUGUGGCACCGCUGCCGCGUGGUCAGCCGGCAGGCGCAGGAGAGCCGCGUCUUCCUGCUGGACGAGGGCCGCACCAUCACCGCCGGCGCGGGCUCGCUGGCGCCAGGGCGCAGCGAAUUCUUCCACCUGCCCUCGGAGGUGCUGGGCUGCGUGCUGGCCGGCCUGGUGCCGACAGGCGGCGGCGGCGCGGGCGGGGGCGAGCCCCAGCACUGGCCGUCCAGGGCUGUGGACUUCCUUAGCAACCUGCAGGGCAAGGAGGUGCACGGGCGGGUCCUGGACGUGCUGCCCACCCAUCGCCUGGUCCUUCUGGAGGUGCCCGGUCUGUUCCAGCAGAUGCAGGAACUCGGCCUGGCUCGGCAGGUGCCUGACAGCCUCUUCCGCUCGCUGCUCAAGCGCUACCUCUCGGCGGCCACGGCUGGCCCCGGCCCCGGGGCCCCAAUUCUCCCGCGAGUCCUGCCCAAGCAAGAGCAGCCUGGCCUGGAUUACUUCUAUCCCCAGCUGCAACUGGGUGUGACGGAGCCCGUCGUGGUAACUCAAGUGUGCCAUCCCCACCGCAUUCACUGUCAGCUCCGGAGCCUCUCGCAGGAGAUUCGCCGCCUGUCUGAGAGCAUGGCCCAGGUAUACCAGGGUUCCACGGGGACAGGGGAUGAGAACUGUACCAGUGCCACCUGGGAAGAAAGGGAGGAGAGCCCAGACAAGCCGGGCUCUCCGUGUGCAUCCUGUGGACUGGAUGGACAUUGGUACAGGGCACUCUUGCUUGAGACUUUUCGGCUGCAGCGCUGUGCCCAAGUGCUUCACAUAGACUAUGGAAGGAAGGAGUUAGUGAGCUGUAGUAGCCUUCGGUACUUGCUGCCUGAAUAUUUUCGAAUGCCUGUGGUGACCUACCCUUGUGCUUUGUACGGACUCUGGGAUGGUGGGAGAGGCUGGUCGCGAUCACAAGUGGGCGAUCUGAAGGCACUGAUACUGGGCCAGGCAGUGAAUGCAAAGAUUGAAUUUUAUUGUUCCUUCGAGCAUGUGUAUUAUGUCACCCUUUAUGGAGAAGAUGGGAUUAAUCUUAACUGUGUGUUUGGAGUACAGUCAUGUUGCUUGGCUGACAGAUUGCUUCAGAGCCAGGGAAUAGAGGAGGAGGAAGAAGAAGAACCAGAAACAGCUCUUCAGUCUCAGUCUCCUGCUGAAGAACUGGAUGAAGAGAUUUCACUCCCAGCCUUAAGAUCUAUCAGGUUAAAGAUGAAUGCCUUCUAUGAUGCCCAGGUAGAAUUUGUUAAAAGUCCUUCGGAGUUUUGGAUUAGGUUGAGGAAACACAAUAGCACCUUCAGUAAACUGAUGAGGAGAAUGUGUAGUUUCUAUUCCUCGGCCAGUAAGCUGGAUGGCGUAGUUUUGAAACCUGAACCUGAUGACCUUUGCUGUGUCAAAUGGAAAGAAAAUGGUUAUUAUCGGGCCAUAGUUACCAGAUUAGAUGACAGAAGUGUAGAUGUCUUCUUGGUUGACCGAGGUAAUUCAGAAAAUGUGGACUGGUAUGACAUGAGGAUGUUGCUUCCUCAGUUUAGGCAUCUACCAGUGUUGGCUCUGAGAUGCACCCUAGCUGAUAUUUGGCCUUUGGGAAAAAGUUGGAGCCAGGAGGCAAUUUCCUUUUUUAAAAAGACUGUGCUCCACAAAGAAUUAGUUAUCCAUGUCCUUGAUAAGAAGGAUCAUCAAUAUGUUAUUGAGAUUCUUGAUGAAUCAAGAGCAGGGGAAGAAAACAUCAGUCAGGUUAUUGCUCAAGCUGGAUAUGCCAAGUAUCAGGAAUUUGAAACAAAGGAAAAUAUCCCCAUAGGUGCCUACUCCCCAGGGCAUACUUCAAACCACUUUACUAUGGAGAAUAACAAAAUAUCUUCUACCAAGAAAGUGGAAGUAGAACAGAAAACCAAGAGAGAUAAUAAAACUGUAUCUGUUUUAGAAGCUGUAACUGAUACAAUUGUUACAAAUGUUUCAACUGGACUAGUUGUGCAGGAUAAAGAGGGGAAAAAAUCGGUUUAUUCUCCUCUUACACAAAAUUUCUUGGAAAUUAAGCCAGGCUCUUCUUGUAAAGGAGGACUAGAAGUUGGAAGUACAGUAGAAGUCAAAGUGUCUUAUGUUGAAAACCCUGGUUAUUUCUGGUGCCAGCUAACCAGGAACAUGCAAGGAUUUAGAACUCUAAUGUGUAAUAUUCAGGACUAUUGCAAAAAUAUAGCAACUCCUUAUCAGGGAACCACCCCCGCCUGUUUAGCAAAACGAACAGUAAAUGGAAAAUGGUCCAGAGCUCUGAUUAGUGGGGCACAAUCUGCAGAACAUGUCAAAGUAAUAUUUGUAGAUUAUGGAGACAAAGAUAUAGUAUCUGUGAAGAAUAUUUAUGCAAUUAGUGAAGAAUUUCUCAAGGUUAAGGCUCAGGCUUUUAGAUGUAGUCUUUAUAAUUUAAUUCAACCAACUGGUCAGAAUCCCUUUGUUUGGGAUGAAAAGGCAAUCCAAGCCUUUAAUGAAUUUGUAGAUAAUGCAUGGGAAGGCAAUCUAGAAUUAAAAUGCACAAUAUUUGCUUUGGCAUCAAUGCAAGAUGAAGAAUUGUUUAAUGUCGUGGAUUUGCUAACACCCUUUCAGAGUGCCUGUCAUUAUUUGGUAGAAAAGAGACUUGCAAGACCAGUAAAACUUCAGAAGCCUCUAGAGUCCUCUGUUCAGCUACAUUCUUAUUACUAUUCUACACAUGAUAUGAAAAUUGGAAGUGAAGAGUCAGUGUAUAUAACACAUGUUGAUGACCCCUGGACAUUUUAUUGCCAAUUGGCAAGAAAUGCCAACAUUUUAGAACAGUUGACAUGUAAUAUUACACAAUUAAGUAAAGUUUUGAUGAAUUUAAAAACAUUUCCCUUGAUCCCUGGAACCUUGUGCCUUGCCAAAUAUACUGAUGGAAACUGGUACAGGGGGAUAGUAAUAGAAAAAGAACCAAAGAAAGUCUUCUUUGUUGAUUUUGGGAAUGUUUAUGUAGUAACAAAUGAUGAUCUGCUUCCCAUACCUAGUGAUGCAUAUGAUGUCUUACUUUUGCCCAUGCAAGCUGUUAAAUGUUCAUUAUGUGAUAUUCCUCAUCAUAUACCAAAAGAAGUCACAUCAUGGUUUCAGGAGACUAUUUUAGAUAAGUCAUUGAAGGCCUUGGUUGUUGCAAAAGAUCCAGGUGGAAGGCUGAUUAUAGAACUAUAUGAUGACAGUAUUCAAAUUAAUGCUAGUGUUAAUGAGAAGUUAGGGUUACUUGGUUACAAAGGUGGGGCAAGAAAAAAAGAAACAGAAGCAAUCCUCUCUACAAUGGAAACUCUUGAAGAAAAAAAUGAAAAUAUGAAGUUGUCACCUACAGAAUAUUCAAAUAAACCAGUGGAGAAUAAAUUAUACAAUAUGGAGAUCUUGGGAGAAUCAUACAAACCUAAGAUUGGCUCAGCAUGUAAAGAACCCAAACUUUUACAAAGUUCAAAAAAGACAAACUUAGCCACUCAAUAUCAGGACUCUGUGGGAAAUAAUAAAAUAAUCAAAAAUAAUCAAAUUUCUCCAUUAACAAUAGAAAAGGAAGACAUUUUCACUGAGCCAUCUUUGAAAACCACAAAAAUUGAAGUCACAGUUUCAGAGGGGAAAAGAGGAGAACGUAACAAACAUCUGCCUCUUAAAUAUUGUGAGUUCCCUCAGAAGACUAUAAUGCCUGGCUUUAAAACAACUGUAUAUGUAUCCCACAUAAAUGACCCAUCAGACUUUUACGUUCAACUAACAGAAGAUGAAGCUGAAAUUAAUUGUCUUUCAGAGAGAUUAAAUGAUGUGAGAACAAGGCCUGAAUCCCAUGUGGGUCCACCUUUGCAAAGAGGAGAUGUAAUAUGUGCCAUUUUUCCAGAAGACAAUUUAUGGUAUCGUGCUGUGGUCGAGGAACAACAACCUAAUGACCUUCUGUCUGUACAGUUUAUAGAUUAUGGCAAUGUUUCUGUUGUUCAGACUAACAAAAUAGGUAGGCUUGACAUAAUGAAUGCAUUACUGCCAGGGUUAUGCAUUCAUUGCUCAUUAAAGGGACUUUGGAUUCCUGAGAUUAUAAACAGUAAGGAAAUGAUGCAUUACUUUUCCCGAAGGACAGAUGAGACUCAGAUAAGAUGUGAAUUUGUUAAAUUUCAAGAUAGGUGGGAAGUUAUUCUUGCAGAUGAACAUGGGAUCAUAGCAGAAGACAUGAUUAGCAGAUACGUUUUCAGUGAAAAAUCUCAAAUAGGACUUUCUACUGAAAUAAUUAAAAGUACCUGUUCAAAGUCUACUAACAAAUCAGACAUUGACACUUCAGUAUUUCUUAACUGGUAUAAUCCAAAACUGAAGACGAUAAGAGCUUAUGCCACUGUGAUAGAUGGACCAGAGUAUUUUUGGUGUCAGUUUGCGGAUACCGAGAAACUUCAGUAUUUAGAAGUGGAAGUACAAAUUGCUGGAGAACAGGUAACAAGUUAUAGCCCAUGCCCUCAUAUUGGGGAUCCUUGCAUAGUGAGAUAUAGAGAAGAUGGGCAUUAUUAUAGGGCACUUAUCACUAAUAUUUGUGAAGAUAAUCUUAUAUCUGUCAGGCUUGUGGACUUUGGAAACAUUGAAGAUUGUGUGGACCCAAAAGCACUCUGGAAUAUUCCUUCUGAACUUUUGUCGGUUUCCAUGCAAGCUUUUCCAUGUUGCCUAUCAGGAUUUAGUAUUUCAGAAGGAGUGUGCUCUCCAGAGGGAAAUGACUAUUUUUAUGAAAUAGUAACAGAAGAUGUGUUGGAAAUAACAAUAUUAGAGAUCAAAAGGGAUGUUUGUAAUAUUCCUUUAGCCAUUGUUGACUUGAAAAGCAAAGGCGAAAGUAUUAAUGAGAAAAUGAGGAAAUAUUCUAAGGUUGGUAUUACUAACAGUGAUCUGCUCCAUGACAAAAAUGGUCUGGAAAUGGCCCUUGGGUCCCCCAGUUCUGAUGUUGGACUUAAGAAACAAAGUAGUAAAGUUGUACAAAAUAAAAUAUUCUGUGUAGAACCACAGACAGAUGAGCUCUCUGAAAGAAUUGAAAAGGAUUUAAACAUUAUUGAAACCAAACCGAGUAAAUUCUAUGACCCUGAAACUGAUAACAUUUUUGAAAACCCAUGCAAAGGUAAAAUUGGUACUGAAGUACUAGAAGGUAAAGUAGAGUGUCAUUUGGCUGACAAAGCAAAGUUCGAUGAUAAGUACCUCAUUACAGGAUUUAAUACAUUAUUACCACAAGCUAGUGAAACAAAGGAGAUACUAGAAAUGAAUUCACUUGAGAUGCCACUUUCCCCUGAUGAUGAAUCAAAAGAAUUUUUAGAACUAGAAUCCACUGAGUUACAGCUUUCUCUAGUUGGGGAUGAAGAAAAAGAAGAGCUAGGCCUGGUGCCACCAAUUGUGCCACUCUCCCAAAGCUGUGAUACAAAAGCCUCCCUGGAACCAUUUACAGUUCAGCUUCCACUCAGCUGUGAAAUAGAGAAACAGCCAGAAUUAGAACUACCUAUGGCCCAGCUGUCAUUAGAUGACAAAGUAAAUCCUUUGUUUUUAAAAGUUAGUCAGAAAGCCCAAGAAUCCAUGUGUGCUGAGGACACCAGAAAGGCAAGUUGUGUGGAAUGUUUUGAUGACCAGCACAGAAUACCAUUGCAUCUACAUGGGAACAACUGUGGUCCCAAUUUGCAGACUGAAAUGAGUAUAUAUAAAGAAGAAUAUUCAGAAUAUAAAAACAGGGGUGCCAUUUCAUCAUUGACUCCUUUGUUCUCUGAAGAGGAAUCUAAAGAUGGAAGGAAACAUAAUAAUGCUUUACCAGAUCAUGUCUCAGUUCAACCAGAGAACAUCUACACUCUGAAAGGAUUUGCUGUUGGAUCCAAAUGUGUUGUGUGGUCAGAUCUAAGAAACACAUGGUCUAAGUGUGAGAUUUUGGAAAUAGCUGAAGAAGGCACAAGGAUCUCCUCCUGCAGAAGUCUGUACUUCCUGCAUUGUUUUGAACCUUUCAAAUGGCAUGGAGGAGUUGGUGAACCCUGAAAAUGUCUGGAAUGGCAUACCCAAAUUGGAUAAGAGUCCAUCUGAGGGUAUAUUCCAAACAGUGGGAAAAGAUCUUUACUUCAUGUCAUCAGAUGAUACUGCAAUUAAAGAAAAGGAGUCUGGGAGUGAUAUAGAUCCAUAGAUGUGGCCGGUCAGAAGCUCUCUUAAACAAGUUGCAUCUUGCCCAGACCAACAAAGUAUUUGAGAAAAUUGUGAGAGUGUAACCACAAGAAGCUUCCAUUUUCAAAACCUGAUAUGUGCCUAAAACAAAAUAGUAUGUUUAUAUCAGUAUGGCUGUGUCUACAGAUCUGGGAUCUUUCCUCUCCCUUUAAAUAUCUUAUGUUUCUAAUCAAUUGGGAGGAUUUAUUGUCCUAAACAGUUUGCUAAAACAUUUACUCAUUUCAAAAAACUAUUUUGGUAUCUUUUGAAUAUAGUGUUUAAAUUAAAAUAGAAAAAUAUAGGUCUAUGACAGAUAAAUAAUGCUACUUCAGAGGAUGGCUCUGUUAGUGGUUAAGUCCUUCAGAAUUUUUGUUUUGUUUUUGAAGCUUUUCCUUGUCUGUUUAUUUAAACAUUAACCAACAUUCAUUUGAAUUUGGAAGUACUCUAAUAUGAAACAAGAUUUGAAUAAAG